UACAUAGGGGGCGAGCGUUAAUCGGAAUUACUGGGCUUAAAGCGCGCGUAGGCGGCUUUGCAAGUCGGGUGUGAAAUCCCCAGGCUUAACCUGGGAACUGCAUUCGAGACUGCAUUGCUAGAGUAUGGGAGAGGGAAGUGGAAUUUCCGGUGUAGCGGUGAAAUGCGUAGAUAUCGGAAGGAACAUCAGUGGCGAAAGCGACUUCCUGGACCAAUACUGACGCUCAUGUGCGAAAGCGUGGGGAGCAAACAGG
rnacentral:rRNA from 1 species